UAAAUAUUAGUUUAAAAUUAAAAUAUUUGAUUGUUACUCAAAAGAAAGUAUAUUUAA
rnacentral:tRNA from 1 species